rnacentral:rRNA from 1 species
UACGUAGGUGACAAGCGUUGUCCGGAUUUACUGGGCGUAAAGAGCGCGCAGGCGGUCGAUCAAGUCGAGUGUGAAAGCCCCCGGCUCAACUGGGGAGGGUCAUUCGAUACUGAUCGACUCGAAGGCAGGAGAGGGUAGUGGAAUUCCCGGUGUAGUGGUGAAAUGCGUAGAUAUCGGGAGGAACAUCAGUGGCGAAAGCGACUUCCUGGACCAGUACCGACGUUCAGGCACGAAAGCGUGGGGAGCAAACAGG